rnacentral:rRNA from 13 species
GUUAAGCGACUAAGCGUACACGGUGGAUGCCCUGGCAGUCAGAGGCGAUGAAGGGCGUGCUAAUCUGCGAUAAGCGCCGGUAAGGUGAUAUGAACCGUUAUAACCGGCGAUACCCGAAUGGGGAAACCCAGUGUGAUUCGUCACACUAUCAUUAACUGAAUCCAUAGGUUAAUGAGGCGAACCGGGGGAACUGAAACAUCUAAGUACCCCGAGGAAAAGAAAUCAACCGAGAUUCCCCCAGUAGCGGCGAGCGAACGGGGAGGAGCCCAGAGCCUGAAUCAGCAUGUGUGUUAGUGGAAGCGUCUGGAAAGGCGCGCGAUACAGGGUGACAGCCCCGUACACAAAAGCGCAUGUGCUGUGAGCUCGAUGAGUAGGGCGGGACACGUGGUAUCCUGUCUGAAUAUGGGGGGACCAUCCUCCAAGGCUAAAUACUCCUGACUGACCGAUAGUGAACCAGUACCGUGAGGGAAAGGCGAAAAGAACCCCGGCGAGGGGAGUGAAAAAGAACCUGAAACCGU